rfam:Myotis davidii contig3494, whole genome shotgun sequence.
GGUGGUUCUUGGGUGACACACCUUAGAAUCAGGCUUGUUCCUCUCUGGUUCUGGGUGCAUCACCCAAGAACCGCA